GCGCCCGUAGCUCAACUGGAUAGAGUGUUGGCCUCCGAAGCUAAAGGUUGUGGGUUCGAAUCCCGCCGGGCGCGCCA
rnacentral:tRNA from 2 species